GACGUAGGGGGCGAGCGUUGUCCGGAGUUACUGGGCGUAAGGGGCCCGCAGGCGGGAGGGUGCGUUUGGUGUGACAGCUCGUGGCUUCACUACGAGAGGAUACCAAAGACGGCCGUUCUUGAGGGCCAGAGAGGGACCUGGAAGUCCGGGUGGAGCGGUGAAAUGCGUAGAGAUCCGGAGGAACACCGAAAGCGAAGGCAGGGUCCUGGCUGGUACCUGACGCUCGUGGGCGAAAGCUAGGGGAGCGAACGGG
rnacentral:rRNA from 1 species